rnacentral:rRNA from 1 species
AACGAACGCUGGCGGCAGGCUUAACACAUGCAAGUCGAACGGUUGUAGCAAUACAGCAGUGGCGCACGGGUGAGUAACGCGUGGAUAUCUGCCUUUUGGUUCGGAAUAACUCCGGGAAACUGGAGCUAAUACCGGAUGGUUCCUGCGGGAUAAAGAUUUAUCGCCAAAAGAUGAGUCCGCGUACGAUUAGCUAGUUGGUGAGGUAAUGGCUCACCAAGGCGACGAUCGUUAGCUGGUCUGAGAGGACGAUCAGCCACACUGGGACUGAGACACGGCCCAGACUCCUACGGGAGGCAGCAGUGGGGAAUAUUGGACAAUGGGGGCAACCCUGAUCCAGCCAUGCCGCGUGAGUGAUGAAGGCCU